UUGAAAGAGGAAAUUUGAUUUUGUCAAUAAAAAGGCUGUAGCCCACCUUCUUCAGUGCUAAAUACGUGUCUGAGUAUCUUUCCACGUGUUUAUUAAAGACAACACCUAAAUUUCUUCUUCUAUGCAAUCUAAAGCAACUUUGUCUGGUUUUAAUUUCCCUCUCCAUUUACUUGCUCUUUUUUGCUUGAUAGUCGACAGAAGCCAUCCACGGCAAAUACUACUUCGGAGUAGUUAUACAGAAAGAUAGCCAUAUCUUUACCUAAUUUUUGGCUAAAUAUUGUGGUUCAGAAGACCGAUUCCCUUUAGGGAAUCAUUUGCCAACUCUUCGUGAAUGCGAUCACGGUACCGGAGCAGCUUUUGGACCACAGCAGUAGG